UUUGCUGCGGGUAACCUGGCUAUGACAGGCGGAAGUAAUCGUUUAGAUAUCCGGGUGUCUCGCAUUUGCCGUUGCCACUGGUACAGGAACUCGUCCACUGUUGCUAUGUUGAAAAAAACCUCUAUAGCAGGGUUGUACAAGGCAAUAGCUGUUGCUAGCGUAGGUGUUGUUUUAUCGACCUCCCUACUUUUAUAUGAAACUAGCCCAGUAAUUGUUUAAUUCAUCUUACUUGAACCUCCAUCCGGCAGCAGUCUGAGAAUGUCUGUAGACUUUGUACCAACGAUCGUGGCCGCGGUACUCUGCAGGCUUUUCUUACUCAUGCCAAGUGUACUAAAAGCCCAACAUUGGGUCUCAAAGCUCAUCCAACCACAUCCACAAGGAUACCCGUAAGUAUGUCUGCUUUCCUUUUAGCAUGAGCCACGUGAAAUCGGUUUAUCCUAUAUUUUUGGGCACAAGUUCUGUUAUCUAAAACGAAUUCCUUCCCCAAAUUUACGCACCAACUUCAAUAUCAAUCUAAAUUUCAAUGGACUUUAAAGACUUCAUGAUGCCUAGCCAUAUUGUUUUAAGUCACCAAUACAGCCCUAGACUUAAUACUAAGGUUCUAAAUGCACUUAAGAAAAUAAAACUACCAGUACUUUGUUAUAAUGGGCAGACAAGUCCUAUAAGGUGGUGGUGACACAAGCAAAACACAAAACUUAGAAAUAAUGACCCUUGUGAGUACUCGACUUUUUUUUUUUUAAAGGAACCAAUAUAGGAAGAGGACAAAAAUGGGCAAAUAAGGCUAGUCGAUUCUGCUUAAGUAGCCCAGAUAUGGUAUUUCCGUUGUAAUGAAAACAAAAAACUGGAAUUUUGGGAACAGAGAUGAUGGCUAUGAUUACCUUAGUCACUGCAAAAUCUGAAACCACCAGGUCAGGAUGCAAACGGGGGCAACUGCCAUAAGAUAGUCAAGAUUUAGAAUGAUAAAGUAGUAGGGCAGGGGAAGGGUAGCCAGUGCUAGAUGGCUGAGCUGUCUAUGCUGUGGAAGCAUGUGAUUUUACUGAAGAAUAUAAAGACAACAAAGACAGCUUCCAACUUACUGCCAACUGCCCCUAUCAAGUAGUUGGACUGAAAAUAGUUGAUGUAGAAUAUUCUCAGUGUAGAAUAUCAAAUGUGCUUGAGAAGAUGGGUAUGGGAAUGGAACUGCACACCUGCAGGUUUAGAGGGUUUUGGAGACAAUUCUCUUCCUCCACCUUUGUCCCAGGAGUCAAAACUCUGGUCUGGGUUGACUUCAAGUGAUGAUAGCUGCAGAGCCAUUUCACUGGCCAUUUAAUAUUCAAGCACUUUAGUGUGACUUUUGAAUUUGAGGGGCUUGGGACUUAGGUAUUUAUAGACAAAGUAACUAUAAAGAAUUAAUAUUCAGAACAGCUAGGCUGGAUUUGGCCACCUGGAUUAAGUAAAACCAGAGAUGAAACCAUCCUUGAAGGCACAAGAUACUCCGUGGUGACAGGGAAUCUGAAAUCCUUUCACCACUUCCAACUUACACCUCAAUUUCUGCUGAAGAAUGAUGCACUUUCUGGAUUACAUUUGCCCAUAAACUUUUGUUCUAAACACUGCAGUGAAGAUCUUUUAAAUGGCAGUUUUAUUAGAUGACCCACUAUUCUGGCCACCCCCCCCCCAAAAAAAAACAAUACACACCAUUUUAAAACCUUCAAUAGCUUCCAAAUGUUGAGACAAAAACUAAACAUGGAAGAAAACUGCCCUAUCCAGUUUCCCCAGACAGAUCUUGCUAAUGCUUAAACAAAACAGGAGUCACUGGAAUACAGGUCUCUUGACUCUUUUAUCCAGUUUGCCACUCCUCACUCAUCCUUAUGUCAGCUGAAUUAUCUUUCAAUCAAGUCUUUCCAGAUCAUACCGACUAAGUCAUAUAUUUAUCAUUAACCACACAGUUGAACCAUGCCACUUACUACACACAUCUGGGGUCACUCCAGUGUCUUGAGGGGUAAUUUUUUCACCACUGAAUAGUUAACACUGGCCAUAAUGCCAAGCAAGAGAUACCCAAAUGUGCUAAUAAAUUUCAGGUUGUCUCGCUAAAGAGAUAUAGUAUUUAGAGGAAAUUAAGACUUACAAAUAAAUAUACCAAAACCUGACUUUAAGUUUUAAGUACAUCAGGGAUACUGCUAUUUUCAAUGCCAACGGUGAAGGAUCAAGGCUAUGCAGGAAACUGCUCAAGCUUCACAACAGACUAUUAAUGUACAGUGCUAACAUACAGUAGUCUAGCUUUGUUCUUAAAAAGACCAGACCCAGAAUUGUUUCUUCUCUCUUCAAGGAGCACUUAAGGAGUUUUCCUUAGGGUGUAUGCAACUCACAGGCUUUGCUAUAAACAAUCACAUUUUCAUAUAAUUUAAUCUAAUGAAAUAUACAACAGUUUCUAAGUUUUUCCAGAAUGUAUAUAAAUUCAAAAUAGUAAAGGCAAAGCUUAAUUUACUUUUUCUGUUAACUUAUACUCGAUAAAACUAAAGUACUUAAUAGCUCAAGUCGGAUGGAUGCAGGUUGAGAGCUUAAGGUUGAAAUGAAGGGUAUGAUCAGCCUAAGCUACAAUACCCUAUUUCCUUAAGUAGAUGAAAAUUUAACAAAACAAAUUGCCUGGCACAUAUAUGAAGCUGCUUAACUACAUUCUGCACUUAGAAACUGGUUGUCUGCCAAGCACCUUAGUGAAUGAACCUGAGAAUAAGCAUGCAUCUCCAUGUCUCCUUGAAGUCUCUAUACAAUAGCAUAUAUAUGAAUACAUAUAGAGACAAAAGAACUAUAGAAGUUAAUUUACUACAAUCAUUGGAAGGUCAUGUUUUUAAUAUCAAGAUACAAUGAUCAAAAGAGGAGAAAGGAUGAAAAAAAAUCAUCUUUUUAGGAAUAUUAAGGCCCUGGUAAUAAAAUGGCCCUAAGCAAAAAGUCAUCAAUGGCAUGCUACCUGGGGGAGGGGGGGGCAUUAUACACGUGGUAUCUAAACAUACUGUGAAUUGUGCAUGUACAAAAGAUUUUAUAGUCUUACUACACUAAGAGACAUGUAGGACCAUCAGUUCCCUGUACUCUGGUAAAAUACACACUUGACCAAACAAAAGGUCUUCUGCCUCUAGACAAGCAUUUGCAUAUUAUAGAAGAUACUGAGUAACAAAGACUCAGAUCUUAAGGAAAAGACUUUAGCAGUUCUCUGUCCAGUGAGGUUGCUUUUAAAACAGUCUUGAAUGCAGACGUUAAAACUCACUAGAACUGCAAUGGUAGAAUGACAGCUAAUGAUAUGUUGCUGUUGAAAGGAAUAAGCAACUUAAAAAAUAAACAAGUCAAACUACAAACAACUUUUACACCUUCUGCCCUACACUUUGGGUAGAAGCCCGAAACGUGAGACAUUCCCUGAAUUCACUUCAGAACUCAAAUUCAAUACUAAACUUAUUUUCUUCAAUUUUGCUUUCUUACUAUCAUAAAAUUAUAUUCUACACACGUAACACACCAUCUAGGGAUUAUCCAAUAAACCACAAACAUUUUAUCCAUCCCAAUAAAAUACAAUUAACAUAUGGUUGUGGUACAUCCCAGGUAGUUGUCUUUUAAAGCACACAAGUGUAGGUGCUGGCAAAAUAGUCUUGGCAAAAGUAAACAGAUAACCCUUCCAAUAUGAUGUACCAUAACCACACAUGAGAAAAGUCAAGAACUUAUUUUAUUUAUUUUAAAAUAAACAUUGAAGCUUCCCCAUUAUCCACCACCCUACAAAACUUUUGAAUGUGGAAUGUUCAACAGCCUCAGCAGUUUUAGUAGGCUACAAAACCAGCAAAAACUCCAGUUGUCUAAUGAUGAAUAUCUGAGAAUUGUUUUGAGUAGCUGAUACCGGCUUGG
rnacentral:lncRNA from 1 species